rnacentral:rRNA from 1 species
AUUGAACGCUGGCGGCAGGCCUAACACAUGCAAGUCGAACGGUAACAGGAAGCAGCUUGCUGCUUCGCUGACGAGUGGCGGACGGGUGAGUAAUGUCUGGGAAGCUGCCUGAUGGAGGGGGAUAACUACUGGAAACGGUAGCUAAUACCGCAUAAUGUCGCGGGACCAAAGAGGGGGACCUUCGGGCCUCUUGCCAUCGGAUGUGCCCAGAUGGGAUUAGCUUGUUGGUGGGGUAACGGCUCACCAAGGCGACGAUCCCUAGCUGGUCUGAGAGGAUGACCAGCCACACUGGAACUGAGACACGGUCCAGACUCCUACGGGAGGCAGCAGUGGGGAAUAUUGCACAAAGGGCGCAAGCCUGAUGCAGCCAUGCCGCGUGUAUGAAGAAGGCCUUCGGGUUGUAAAGUACUUUCAGCGGGGAGGAAGGGAGUAAAGUUAAUACCUUUGCUCAUUGACGUUACCCGCAGAAGAAGCACCGGCUAACUCCGUG